GAUGAAGAACGUAGCGAAAUGCGAUACGUAAUGUGAAUUGCAGAAUUCAGUGAAUCAUCGAAUCUUUGAACGCACAUUGCGCCCCCUGGUAUUCCGGGGGGCAUGCCUGUCCGAGCGUCAUUGCUGCCCUCAAGCACGGCUUGUGUGUUGGGCCCCGCCCCCCGGCUCCCGGGGGGCGGGCCCGAAAGGCAGCGGCGGCACCGCGUCCGGUCCUCGAGCGUAUGGGGCUUCGUCACCCGCUCCGUAGGCCCGGCCGGCGCCCGCCGGCGACCCCCCUCAAUCUUUUCAGGUUGACCUCGGAUCAGGUAGGGAUACCCGCUGAACUUAAGCAUAUCAAUAAGCGGAGGA
rnacentral:misc_RNA from 1 species